UGAGGAAUAUUGGUCAAUGGACGAGAGUCUGAACCAGCCAAGCAGCGUGCAGGAUGAUGGCCCUAUGGGUUGUAAACUGCUUUUGUUUGGGAAUAAUCGACAUCAUGUGUAAUGUUUUGCAUGUACCAUUCGAAUAAGGACCGGCUAAUUCCGUGCCAGCAGCCGCGGUAAUACGGAAGGUCCAGGCGUUAUCCGGAUUUAUUGGGUUUAAAGGGAGUGUAGGCGGUUGGUUAAGCGUGUUGUGAAAUGUAGAUGCUCAACAUCUGACUUGCAGCGCGAACUGGCUGACUUGAGUACACACAACGUAGGCGGAAUUCAGGGUGUAGCGGUGAAAUACUUAAAUAUCAUGAAGAGCUCCGAUUGCGAAGGCAGCUUACGGGAAUAUUACUGACGCUUAAGCUCGAAAAGGCGGGUAUCGAACAGG
rnacentral:rRNA from 1 species